GACGAACGCUGGCGGUGUGCUUAACACAUGCAAGUCGAACGGUAAGGCCCUUUCGGGGGUCCACGAGUGGCGAACGGGUGAGUAACACGUGAGUAACCUGCCCUCAUCUCUGGGAUAACAGUCGGAAACGGUUGCUAAUACUGGAUAUGAGCUUGCAAGGCAUCUUGUGGGUUGGAAAGAUUUUUUUUGGUUGGGGAUGGACUCGCGGCCUAUCAGCUUGUUGGUGAGGUAGUGGCUCACCAAGGCUUCGACGGGUAGCCGGCCUGAGAGGGCGACCGGCCACAGUGGGACUGAGAUACGGCCCAAACUCCUACGGGAGGCAGCAGUGGGGAAUAUUGCACAAUGGACGGAAGUCUGAUGCAGCAACGCCGCGUGCGGGAUGACGGCCUUCGGGUUGUAAACCGCUUUCAAUUGUGACGAAGCUUUUUUGUGACGGUAGCAGUAGAAGAAGCACCGGCUAACUACGUG
rnacentral:rRNA from 1 species